GAUGUUUCACCGCUGAGCCCAUCUCAGUAAAAAUCCGGUUUCGGCGAAAGGUAACUCCUUCUUCUUUGGCAAAUUCCCUCCGGGAGUUCCAAUGAAGGUAUAUAAACCACCGUGCGACCUAAUCGUGUCACAAAGAAAGUCAAAGCCAUCGAACAAACACCGUUAAGAAAAGAGAAAUCUCUUUAACUCAAUCGCCAUGAAGGUCAUUUUUCUCCUUUUCGUUUUUGCUAUUUGCUGUUCGGCGAUAGCUGCGGCACCACAACUGUUUGAGUCGAAGCCUAGUAUUUAUGCCAACAUCGGUGCAAAUAUCGCCGAUUUAGAGACUGCAGAAGCUAUUCCAGGCCGCCGAUAUUACACCGGUAGCCGAAGUCGUAGCUCCUAUGGAUCACGAUCAUACCAUCGUACUAUGCAUCGUGGAUAAAGCGACCACUUUCUUUCCCUCUUGCCGGACUAUUUGCAUACUUCUUUCUUCGCACAAUUUUGUGCGAAGCAAUUAGUGCAACCACGACCUUAUUAACUUUAAAUUAUUUACCUCCACCGAUAAUGUUUGCGUCUCAGCAGAAAGAUCGCCUACAUUGUACAUUAUUUUUUUUCUUUCCUGUCACUACCUUUAACGUAUAAAUAAAAGCAUCAGCAAUUUUUUAAAAA